UUGCUAAGUCUACAGCAAGCAAAAGGAAAGGAAUAAGUAGCAAGUAGCAGAUGGAUAGGAAUGGCGGCUAGACAUCAUCCAAUCGGGAGUUUACAGCAUCCAGCAGAGAUUGCUGGAGUAGCCCAGCUGAGAGAGCAAACAAAGGGCACAGAGCAUGCUGGGAAAAAGAAAGGCAGAGUCAGAAGAGUCUCCAGGAGAUGCAGAGGGAACAAGACAUGCUGGAGGACAGGGAAAUAAGCAACAUUUCAAUCACUUUGUUGCCUUGAGAGAAGCCCUCGACCAUUAACACUGGAGGAAUGCCAAUUAGGGAAGGAAAAAAAAAUCCUGGAAAACAGAGGCGCAAAGAAUGGAGUCCUGCACCUUCAAGGACCUGGCUCUGGGGCUGGAGAGAUGGCGCAGGGGUACAAGCAUGUGCUGCUCCUCCAGAAGAUCUGUGUUUGGUUCUCAGGACCUAUGUCAGGCAGCUCACACCACCUGCAAUUCCAGCUAGAGAAGAUCUGAUGGCCUGGCUUUUCUGGCUUCCAAGGGCACCUGCACCCGCAUGUACAUGCCCACACCGACACAUAUACAUGCAAUUGAAAAUGAAAUCAAAUCUUAGAAGAAGAAUCUGGGCUUGGGGACUGAGGUGGAUUGUAGUGGGAGAGUGUGUGCUUAGUAGGCGUGAGGUCACAGUUUCUAUUAAUAGCACCAAAAAAAA